rnacentral:rRNA from 1 species
GCGUAGGCGGUUUUCUAAGUCAGAAGUGAAAGGCUAUGGCUCAACCAUAGUAAGCUUUUGUAAACUGUUAAACUUGAGUGCAGGAGAGGAAGUGGAAUUCCUAGUGUAGAGGUGAAAUUCGUAGAUAUUAGGAGGAACACCAGUGGCGAAGGCGACUUCUGGACUGUAACUGACGCUGAGGCACGAAAGCGUGGGGAGCGAACAGGAUUAGAUACCCUGGUAG